CCUUUCCGCCCGCCCUUCGGCCGAUUCCGCCCUCCCCCUUUCGGAAACGGCCGAAGACGCGCUGAAGGAACCGGCGGCGGGCGAGGUGAGGCGGGGAGGGCUUUUCGCUCGCGCCGUGGGACGAACCAUCUGCGGCUGGCUCGGAGGUGAUCCUGUUGAUAAUCCGUAAAAUCCUGUUUCUGGUGGGAAAUCUGGGUAUUAAAAGUUUUUCCAGUGUCUCACCCAGUGGACAGAUUGGAGGCUCUUUCCGGGUUGCAGGCUGUCCAUUCUGCACUUUUGAGUACUAAUACACCAAGGAGGCAAACCUCUGGAGAUCGGCAUUCCGUGCUGCGAAGUUGUCGAGCGAUGAGGGGAAUG